ensembl:ncRNA lncRNA:CR44985 long non-coding RNA:CR44985
CGGGGGCUUAAUUUCACACGGUUCGAUUGCGUGCGGGCACUUGAUAAACGCACUGAUUGCUGUCGAAAGAUUCGCGCUUGUUUUUCAACCAUCAAUUGGCGUUGCAACGAUGCGUUUAUCCUGUUUAUUUUGUACAAAAAACUUCCCGGUGUUGCCAGACGUCCGCGGCCCGAAAUUCCCUAAAUUUCCCGACAUAUUUGUGGUUACCAGGGCUGCGAAGUAGCCUGUAUUGGAAAUUUGGCUCGAGCAGAGUUGUCAAUUGUUUGG